CUCUACAAAGGAGGUGUUUCAGAUGGACCUUGGAGGGAGGCCAGGGCAUCUCCCUCAGAACCGGAGGAGGGGAGGCUGGGAGUGGCCCCAGGCAGAGGGUAGGGGCAGGACAGAGCCUGUGGCCCUCAGGCCAGGUGAUGGGAGGCUUGGUGCUGGGCUGAGGGCUGAGCACUUCAUGCUGUGCAUGGCUAAGGACAGCAGCUGCCACCCCUGGUGUGUCCAGGUCCUGCUCCCAGACAGGUCACUUCUAGGACUUUGGAAUCCAGGUGCACAAAAAUGAGACCAGCUCUCCCCAGGUGGAGAAGCUGGUGACAAUCCUGAACUUGCUGGUGUUUUCUGACCCUGGGCAGGUGGAACAUUCAUAGUACGUCCCUCUUUCCAGUUAGGACAAGUGGGUGCAGGGUAAGGUCACAAGUGGGGUCUGCUGCUUAGUGGCCUGUGGCCCACCUUCCCUGCGGUGUCAGCUACUUCUGGUGCCUCUGCAGCGGCUCCGCGGGAUUUCCAGGCCUUCUCGUGACUGUGAGGCGUGCAGGUGGCUGUGACGUGGGGUCUGCCCUGGGGAGGCCGUGCUCAGGCUUACCUGGAACACAGGGUGCCUUUGCAGCUGGGUCCUCUGGGGGUCUCCUCCCAGGCCCUUUAGUGCAGCAGGUGGGAAACUUCCCAGGGGGCCCCUGUUUCCUGGUGGCUGAGGGGAGCACAGGCUUUUCGACGGACACUCAGUCUCACAGGCUGUGAGGAGGGAAACUCAUGAAUGCACGUGUGUGUGUGUGUGUGUGUGUGUGUGUGUAAGUUGUUGGUGGAGGACCGUAUUCUAUUCAUUUAUGUAUAUGCACUGCUGAGAAUCGAACUCAGUGAGGCAAGAGCUUUACCACUGAGCCACGGC
rnacentral:lncRNA from 1 species